GCCAGUCCGCAAAUAGGAGAGUGUGUGAGCAAGUGCGAGAGUGAGUGUGUGUGUUUAACAGGUGGUGUACGGUUAUCUUUCUCUCAUUCUUCUUUGUCACAUCUGUCCUGAGGUGAAUUCAAAGCUUGCUUCCCUUGGGGAGGAUGACUCUUGAUCCAGCACGGCCGUCGCGUCUGACAGCAGUGAGAGGGCAUUGCCUGCCUGCGUUUCCUCCGCAGACACCACAGAAAUGACCCAUUCGCCCAGUCCCUCCAUGGGGUAGCGUCUUAUGUCAUGGAUCUCAUUUCACCUAACCAGCUGUCCGAAGUCGCCUGUCUCCUGUCCCUUUCAGAACCUCACUGACGGACCAAAGAAAUUGAUAGGAUGUGAUAAUUCUUGUGUUAGAGGACAAGAUUUGAUUUUUAAACACAGGCCUCCUGGAAGCAUAAUGUUUUAGCUCAAGAAUUACGUUUCUUCUGCCAGUGGAGAUUUCUGGCAUUAGAUCACGUUGGGAGGGAGGACGUUUAAUAUGCAACUCUUGCAUUGGAAGCUCCUACGGCUAAGGAAAACCAUAAGGACCACAGGACAGCUGAGCAUACACAGAGCCCAAACACAGAGGAAUGGGAGACGUGAUUGACCCCGCGGGAGCCCUGUUCUGCUGUGGGCAUCACCUGGCACUGGACCAGGGCGCUCCAACAGGCUGGCAUGCGGUGGGGGACGUGAAAGUUGUAGCGGCUCAUCCAUGAUUCUGUGCCAAGCUGGAGCGAAGAAAACGCCCUUAACACAUCCCUGCGGAGUGAUCCAAAUUCCGGAAUAAUGGUCCAUUUGUCGGGCCCCGCAAAACUGUGGAACCCGCAUCGCUCUUCUGUGUCAAGGAAGGGUUUGUCUUAGCUUCCUUUCGCCUGUUAAAGACGGUUCUAGAAAUUCUUGCCAUGUUAGUCCUAUUUUUUUUUUUUUUUCCCUUGACAGCGUGGACACCGACCUUCUACUCUGCACUUUGAAAUCUAUAUGGCUUUUCUAAGUAAAAUGUGAAAAGUGCUUUGGGAUUGGAGUUGCUUGGAAUUACAGCCAUGGUAGGCUAAGCUCCUCCGAACCCUUUCUUUCUCUCAGGGUCCUUCUUUUCAUCAGAGUGAGAAAAACAAAUCUUUUUAUUUUUUGAAAACAUGAGAGUGCAUGGAUAAGUGAUUCCUUCCCUACUUGGGGGCUACGUGGAGGUAGAAGAAGGAAUGCAAAACGAAGAGAGGAAAGGAGAGCCUAGGAGCCUGGAGGGGGGGGUGGUUAUUUGCUUUCACCUCCAUUCCCCAACCUCACCCUCUGCUUUUGGGUGCCGUGCCCUGUGCUCUGGGACAUGACCUCAGUGGACCCUGUCACUGGAACUCUUGCCUGUUGCUGUCUGGCUGGUUUGGCUAAUAGGAGCCAUGGAGAGGUUGAGGGAGGGAGACACAGAGAGAGAGAGGUCUGGGCAUUUAUCUCCCCCUGCCCUUGCACGAUUGGCCACAGUUCUGGAAAUUUCUCUGUCUGUGGUUGGCUCCAGGAAGUGUAUCUCCUCCUUUUUCCCCUCAGGCUUAGGAGUAGUAGUUGCUCCCAUCCUUCUGUUGCUUCAUCAUUGCUCAUUAUUUCUUUCAGGGCUGCCUACUGCUUUGCAAAUAGUCUUCAUUGAAAUGUUCUCUCAGUUAAACCUUUGAAUAUGCCAAUGAUAUCCUCACUUCACCAUCCUCACAGCUCAGAGGACAUUUGCUUUCUCAUAUUGGCUAACUAAAGCAAUAGCAUGUAUUCUGGAAAACUUGGCGUCCUCUCUCCUUCUGCUACUGUAUAGCGAGGAAGUAGUCAAGGUCACCAUUGUGCAUCUCUCAGUGGACUCUUGUACCUUUUUAAUCAUUCACGCAUGUGCCUUCUUGUGGUUUCCACCAGGUGCAUGCAGGCUAGGCUAGGAUGGAUGGGGAUGAGGUUCCCUGUGAGACAUAAUAACGGAUGUAACAAAACAAAAAUAAAAACAAAAACCACAGACUUGUAUGUAUGUAUCUCCAAGGGUAUGCUGGCCAGUGUUUUAAGGCUAGCCCUCUUGUUGGGGGGGGGCUGUUUUAUGGCAUUUGUCAUUUACUGUGGUAUAACUAUUUCCACCAUGGCCAAUUUCAAACCACCAGUUUGACCUCACUGAAUAUAAAUUGGGGAGAGAUGCUCCCUAAACAUCAGCGUUUGGGGGCUGGUACCAGCUGACUCCAGCAACCCACUGUUUAUAUCCAACUAUAGACAGAUUGGGACGAACACAUUGGUCUUACGGUGGGAAUGUAAUAGGUUAAAAUAUUAGCCAUAGUAAAGUUGUUUAUCAGGAGAGUCAUUGUGCGACAAAAUGGGGGUACUAAGUAGUUAGCAGGUGAACAUAGCAGGUGUGUUUGUGUUUUUGGUGGAAGGUACAAUUGUUGUGUGAUCACUCCAGGCUUAAAAUGCAAAUUGGAGGCAGCUUUGUGAUUCUAGGGUCCUAGUGACAGUCUCCAAACUAUUGAACGUGUUGGCCUCUUGCAAAUAAACCUGAGUUAUAGCCGAGGGGUAGGGGAGGGGGUUGGCUUUUCUCCUUUCUCAGUUCAUUUUUAUGUCUCAUUAGCGACGUGAGGAAAAGGUGAAAAUAUUAUCUAAAAAUGAGAGAACAACCUCUUUGGUUUCCCUUUUUGUUCUCUGAAGAUACUUGUAAAAUGUGACCAAGACUGUAUAACUGAAUGAUGGAAUCCAGAACCCGCAAGUUGGCCAUUAAAGUUUGAAAGAAUAAAGUCCAAAGAAAACAAUAAGUAGAAGUAGUAAAUAAAUAGCAGGUGUAAAAGUACAGUACUUGUGACCCCCUAAUGGGGGCCCUGAUGAAAAUAUAAAUAGGUUUCAAAAAUGUUUGGAGAAAUUCUGGGAUGAAAGGAGUACUGUAAGUUAUUAUGGAAACUAGCUAAAUUUUCAGUUGAUUCCAAACCUCUUGAAGUACAUGCCAUGAUCCCCUACA